UGCGUAGGCGGGUUUUUAAGUCAGGGGUGAAAUCCUGGAGCUCAACUCCAGAACUGCCUUUGAUACUGAAGAUCUUGAGUCCGGGAGAGGUGAGUGGAACUGCGAGUGUAGAGGUGAAAUUCGUAGAUAUUCGCAAGAACACCAGUGGCGAAGGCGGCUCACUGGCCCGGUACUGACGCUGAGGCACGAAAGCGUGGGAGCAAACA
rnacentral:rRNA from 1 species